GGAAUACUUGAGGGGAACAAGCAGAAGUACAGCCCACUAAAACUUCUAUGUAAAAUUGAAAGCAGAACUGCGCAGAGUCUACACAAAAGUAUUGAACAGAACAUGGAGAUGAAAGAUGAUAAAGACAAGAUACACAUCGUAAGAUUUAAGCUCAGAACAAAGUGAGAAGCAGACCUGCAAAAAGCCUUCAAAUAUAGAUAAAAAGGGGAAUAGAACAAAGUAAUAUAAUAAUAAGAGAGAAUAAGACUGAUGCACCUUAUUUUAGAUGUGUAAUACUUGGAGGACAUGGCCUUCUGGUAAAAUGAAAAUGCCUGCUGAAUGAGCAUUAUAAACAAGCACUGCCAAUAGAAUAUUGAGGACAACGCUGAAAGUUUGUUUGUGGUUUGUUUUUUUUUUUUUUAUAAACACUAAGAGAACUUAGGCUGUGCUAUGUGAAAGAUGCCUCUGAGCAAAGGAAAGGAAACAUUUUUAAGUAGGUAUGUGGGUGAAAUGGUCAAAAAGUACCACAUUAAUAAUUCUCUUCAAAUUUAUGUAAAAGUGGAGCAGAAAAAUAGCAAUAGAUAAAAAAUGUAAACUUCAUCCAGGAAGAUAGGCUUCCCUAAAAAGGAUUUCUAAAAAGAGGAAGAAGAGAAUAUUAAUUACGGAAUGAGACAGCAAGUUAGAAGGAUUUAUUCUAGAACUGGGAUGUAGUUUUAUAACAGCAAGCAGAUAAACUGGAAAAAGCACAGAGAAGAAAAACAAGAGUGAUG